AUUGAACGCUGGCGGAAUGCUUUACACAUGCAAGUCGAGCGGCAGCGCGGGGCAACCUGGCGGCGAGCGGCGAACGGGUGAGUAAUACAUCGGAACGUGCCCAGACGUGGGGGAUAACUACUCGAAAGAGUGGCUAAUACCGCAUACGAUCUAAGGAUGAAAGCGGGGAUCGCAAGACCUCGCGCGUUUGGAGCGGCCGAUGGCAGAUUAGGUAGUUGGUGGGGUAAAGGCUUACCAAGCCCGCGAUCUGUAGCUGGUCUGAGAGGAUGAUCAGCCACACUGGGACUGAGACACGGCCCAGACUCCUACGGGAGGCAGCAGUGGGGAAUUUUGGACAAUGGGCGAAAGCCUGAUCCAGCCAUUCCGCGUGCAGGAUGAAGGCCCUCGGGUUGUAAACUGCUUUUGUACAGAACGAAAAAGACUCUUUCUAAUACAGAGAGUCCAUGACGGUACUGUAAGAAUAAGACACCGGCUAACUACGUGCCAGCAGCCGCGUAA
rnacentral:rRNA from 1 species